rnacentral:rRNA from 1 species
CCUACGGGAGGCAGCAGUGAGGAAUAUUGGUCAAUGGACGCAAGUCUGAACCAGCCAUGCCGCGUGCAGGAAGACGGCUCUAUGAGUUGUAAACUGCUUUUGUACGAGGGUAAACGCAGAUACGCGUAUCUGUCUGAAAGUAUCGUACGAAUAAGGAUCGGCUAACUCCGUGCCAGCAGCCGCGGUAAUACGGAGGAUUCAAGCGUUAUCCGGAUUUAUUGGGUUUAACGGGUGCGUAGGCGGUCGGAUAAGUUAGAGGUGAAAUCCCGAGGCUCAACUUCGGAAUUGCCUCUGAUACUGUUAGGCUAGAGAGUAGUUGCGGUAGGCGGAAUGUAUGGUGUAGCGGUGAAAUGCUUAGAGAUCAUACAGAACACCGAUUGCGAAGGCAGCUUACCAAGCUACGUCUGACGUUGAGGCACGAAAGCGUGGGGAGCAAACAGGAUUAGAUACCCUAGUAGUC